CCCAGCAAACACAGUUUGGGAAUCGCAGCGGAUUAGCUCAGUCGCGAGAGAACGAUUCAACUCGUAGGACGUGUGUGGCUUUAAGUAUUGCGCGUGGCGGUCCCAAAGUGAUUCGUGCGCGUGCGCCUUCUGGUGGUCAAUUAGUGAAACUUGCGGAAAAUUGCAAGUGAAAAAAAAGUCUCAAAAGCGCCACCCUGAAUAAUGGCUACAAAGUGAAGAAAAAAGUGCAAAGGGGAAAGAUUUUCCGCGCGGUGAAGAAAAAUCUCAUUCAUUUUCGGGUUGGGGUGUGUGGUUCGAGUUUUUCCCCAUCGAAACCGAAAAAGAAGUGCGGUUCUAAAAUUAGAAAUCUCGAGAAAGUGGCGGCACCUCGUGUGCUGCUGUGCAACGUUCGUCGUCAAGUCGCAGAAUAAGAUGAUGCGCGCGGCGGCAAGAAGAUUCGAUGAAAAGUGAAGAACGUAUCGACCUUGUUCGAUCGGGGAUCUCGAAAGUUUUUUUUUCUAGUUCACACUGAACCCAAAGCAAACCAAACAUCCUCCUCAAUGAAUGAGGCAUUCAAUUUCUAUUAUCAAAACUUGUUCUCGAUAACGAAGCAGUCGUCUGCUUCGUCGCCUUCUUCGACGGUACGCAGUUUCGUCGAAGGGCAGCAGCAACAUCAACAGCAACAUCAGCAACAACAACAGGAAGACCUUGACGCGAUCGCGAAGCAGAUUUCCGAUCACGCCGAAGCGAUCUACCAGACAUGGAAGGCUCGUGGCCUCGCGCCAACUGAGAUCCUCAACUGCCAACUGCCGACCGUGGACGGCGAGGAUGCGUUUAGCCGGACGUUGAGCCCGACAUCCUCGGUAGCGCCAUCGCCGACAGCAUCGCCAGCAGGUGCCGCUUCCGCGUCUACUUCCGGUGUAGCAAAGCUACUCGCGCAAGCACCCGAACUGUCCAACAACAGCCUCGAGCAGCUGGUCAGUUCGUUCGUCAACGAAGACAAAGCUCGGAUCGCCGCCCAGAAGCAGCGAUCGCCCGUAGCCGGACGGACAGCCGCCGCCGGUUCCGCCAUCAAGAGUGUGCUACAAAAGUUCGAACAGAACGGUGCUCAAAGCAGCCUCAACACCUCGCCGGUCAACAAGCCAAACUUUAUCCGACCCGGCGUGAAACAGGUAGUGAACAACAAUAACAACAACAAUCUCGGGACCUUGGACAAGAACAAUGUACCGGAUGUGCUAAAGGAUACGAUCGUCGUCGAGAAACCCCGUGAAAAACCACAGACUCCGGUGAAACCGGAACAUCUGCUUAACCAUGUUCCUAGCUGGCCGCUCAAGAAUCGUGUAGUGAAGACUCCAGGCCAGCAACCCCAACAACAACAACAACCACAGCAAAACCAUCACCACAGUUCGUCAGCUCCCAGAAGCGGUCCCGGAAGCAGUAGUAGUAAUAUUAGUAGUAACAGUGGCCUUAACAGCUCUCUCAUCUCCAAAAACACCGCGGAGCUUAUGGAUGAAGUGUCCCGGGAGGAGGAACGUCUGAUAAACGCACUCAAAACGGGCACCGUACUGAACAACACUGACGGACUACUUCCGGAGGUGAUCACCUCGACGCUGGUCCCCGACCGCGGAGACGUACCCGACUACGGCUACAGCAGUAGCAGUCCCGGCGCAGACAUGGUGACCUCGUCAACCCUAAUGGCCAACGGGAACGGCAUCAACGGCAAUGGCACCACCGUCGGUGCCGCCGACGGCCAGAACAACGCGGGCGGAAACGCCGCCGGCGUCAAGCACUGGAACGGCGUCCCGAUGAAGCCGAACCACAUCCCGAUUAUGAGCCUGCACCAGAUCCACGAGCAGCAGAAGCUCUCCACCAACUUUACCCGCAACGUCGCAACCACAAGACUGCCCAAGGACUUUGGCCGGGGAGGCCAGCAGGACAAGAAGGAGGACUUCCAGGCCAAAACCAUUCCGAGCCCGAUCAGGCCGUUCCUGUCGCGCGGGUCGGUCGCCGAGCGGGUGCUCAUCUUCGAGAAGUGCCCGGAGAAGGCGCCGCCCCGCGAGCGCGCCAAGGAGCCGGUGAAGGUGCAGUCCAAACCCGUCAACAGACUGAUCCCGCCAAACAUUCACACAACGCUUCAACGACACUUGAAGAACUCAACGAAAGCUCCCUACAUACCACAAUUCCACUUCCCGAACGGCAAGCCCCCGGCGGCCAUCACGACUGAGACGACGAUGCAGCGGCUGGAGCAGGUCUUCGACUCGCUGCCCAACUACGAGUGCAGCCGGGACAAGUUCCACAAGGUGGUGACGAUGUGCCAGGUGCCGCUGUACUGGCGCGUCCCCCUGUUCAUGUGCACCCCGCUCACCGCGACCGGCUGCGUCAACGGCGACAAGUUCAUCUCGUUCUGGCGGCAAAUGACCUCCUUCUGCCACGAUCCGGCGUCCCGCUUCGUGUACAUCAUGUCGCGCGGGGACCGGACGCGGUCCUUCAUCCUGCCGGAGGACUUUGCGCCGCUGAUUCAGGACGUGGUCGACACGCACCCGGGGCUGGCGUUCCUGAAGGAGGCGGCCGAGUUCCACUCGCGGUACGUGCACACCGUGAUAGCGCGCAUCUUCUACAGCGUGAACCGCAGCUGGACGGGGAAGAUUACGGUGCCCGAGCUGCGCAAGUCGAACCUGCUGGACGUUAUGCAGCUGCUCGAGGAGGAGGAGGACAUCAACCAGAUUAUGGCGUACUUUAGCUACGAGCACUUUUACGUCAUCUACUGCAAGUUCUGGGAGCUGGACCGGGACCACGACCUGUUCAUCGACCAGCAGGACCUGGCGCGGCACAAUGACCACGCCCUGUCCUCGCGCAUGAUCGAGCGCAUCUUCUCCGGGUGUGUGACGCGGGGUCCACGCCGCGGCAACGCCAACCCGAUCGUGAUGGGCCCGAACGGGCCGAAGAUGUCCUACACGGACUUUGUGUGGUUCCUGCUGGCCGAGGAGGACAAGACGCACCCGACGGCCAUCGAGUACUGGUUUCGUUGCAUGGACGUCGACGGCGACGGGAUGCUGUCGAUGUACGAGCUGGAGUACUUUUACGAGGAGCAGCAGCACCGGAUGGAGUCGCUCGGCAUCGAGACGCUCCCCUUCGAAGACUGUCUGUGCCAGAUGCUGGAUAUGAUCAAACCGACCACGCCCGGUUGCAUCACGCUGGCGGACCUGAAGCGCUGCAAAAUGACGCCCAUCUUCUUCGACACGUUCUUCAACCUGGAAAAGUACAUGGAGCACGAACAGCGGGAUCCGUUCGCGCAGCGUGAUAAUGACGAUCUCUCCGACUGGGAUCGGUACGCAGCACAGGAGUACGAGCUGCUGGUGGCCGAAGAGGGAGGUGAUACGCAAGGGGAGGAAGAAACCACCCGAUAGAGAACACAAACCCUUCCCGCGGGUGCACACAAUUGUAAUAGGAAUGAUGGGGUCUCGGUCCACAUGGUUUUUGUGAGAGAGCGAUGAGUUUUGAGUGUUGAAAUAAAGCGUGAAAAUUUCGGGGGGAAGGCAGCGACACGGACUCGGACUCGGACUCGGAGAACGUCCGCAGCCUGCGGAUAAGCUGGCGGGAGCGCUACCUGCGCAAGCGACGCAACAAGAAGAAGAGGAAGUAGAAAGGGUGCCCCCCUAAUCCUUCCAGUAAUGAGUUUGCUUUUCCCUUUCCUUGUCAAUUUUGAAAAAGAAGGUAUGCACGUACGUUCAAAAUCGCUUAAUUUUCGUCAAAACCGAACCUACUCAUUGGAUUGGAGUGAAUUUAACUCGGAAUUCUACGAAUUCAAAAGUGAAAUUCACUCAAAUUUGACAGAUGCCCCCUUUACUCAUUUCUGAAAAGGUGCGAUUUUGACGAAAACUGAGUGAUUUUGAACGUGAGUGUAGGUAAAACACAAUUAAUUGAGAUUCUUUGGUGGGAAAUGAGGAUCGCGAUAGUGGCAUCAAAGUGUUUUGUAGAAACAAAAAUCACCCAUAUUUUGCGUAUUUUCUUGGGAGCGUGCACAUCAUUCACGGUGCAGCAUUUUUCGAAAUGACCGUUAUUAUUGAAACGCGUUUUUCAAUAUUGUACGAGAUCUUACUUCUUGUAUUUUUGUCUAUGACCUGAUAAAUAAUUUAUCAAAGAUGUUUCGUCCAUACAAGCAUUCAAAGAAUUUUAAAUAAAUCUUUGUCUUGAGAACUUUAUUUCAAUCAAACUGAUGUCUAACCCCUUAAGUUAGAACUGUUCAAACUUUUUGCAGUUAAUGGAGCACAUAAACCAGAGCUGUUGCACCAAGAAUUAUAUUACAGACUUUUUAGUAUCUUCAAAACUAAGGGAACUAUCGGUAUAAUUUUUUAUUCAUCCCCAAAACAUAAAAAAAAAACAAAGUUAGACUUUUGCAGGAUUGGGUCCGUAAGUUUGACAAUUUUGGAAUAAGAAGACAACAACUUCAAUGGUUGCAGUAACUUUUAUUUUAUUUCACUUUUAUAACACAAGAAACUGUGUUUAGUUUUUUGUUUUUUUUUUUAAUAUGAGAUUUGAACCAAAGAUGGUCAAAAUUCUUUUAGUAGUGUUGCCAUUUAUGAAAUGAUUAUGAAAUUUUAGACAUUUAUUUAAGAUUGUACAAAAAGUGUUUUUUAAUUUUCCGUUGUACACACUUAGAUUAUUUUACCGAAUUCAUUAGUUGGAGAAUCGGUAAUGUUUAGAUCGGUUAACCAUCUGUCAAAAUGACAAAAUUUUACCGAAUUUCGGCUGUACGAUGAACAUUACCGAAUUUCGGUAAGUUUUUACCGAAUUCGCGAAUUUUCAGUUUACCGAACUAUUCAGCAGUUGAAAAUUCGGUAGACUUUACCGGAUUUGGUAAAAAAAAUCUGAGUGUGUAAGUCACACAUCGCAAUUUUGCAGUGAUUCAAAAAGUUAUUUUAUUUCAAAAUUUGUAAAUAAAUAAAAUAAAAAUAGAUAUUUUCGAAAUUUCAAAAUAAGACCGUCUUUGAAACUCCUUGUUUGAAAAUUAUGAUAACAUGUUUGCUGAAAGAUUCAAGAAGUUUUGUAUUAAGCGUUGGUUCAUAAGACAAUGAAGUCAGUACGCUAAAGCAAAAAACUAAUUUUGAUUAAAUUAUUUUAGCCUUUUCUGUGUAGUAGUAAGUCGCACUGUUUAAAAAAUGAAACUUAAAAAUCAGCCAUUUUGAAAUAUUAGCGGAUCCACUGAAAAGCUUGACCAAAACAUUCAUAGUGUGUUUACAUGGCAGCUGGGGGUUUGUUUGCAUCAGAUUUGCUAUCUCUUUCUAGCAAAAGUUCUAGCAUUUUUUUUUUUCAUAUUUCGCAGGGCUGUGACAGCUCGAUCUCGAUCAUUGUUUGCAUCAGGACACUGUGAUGAGAAGUUUGUCAUUUUUGGGUUAAAUUAUGUUUAUUUUUCACUGUACUACUGAAAUUUUCGCUGUACUUCAUUUCUUACUGGGUUGUGACAGGCAUUCAGAAUUGAUCAUUGAAAAUCAUCAAAAAUAAGGCACUCAUUAGUUCAAUGUAAAAAAACUUCCAAAAAAGGUCAAUAGCAUUCAUUUGUGUGCUGAAAAGUUCCACUUGUCGACCCUAUUUUGAUUUUUGAGUUGACCAAAUACAAGUUGCGUUGCAAAACUCGAUUUUUUUCAGCGAUUUUUUUUCCGGUUGAGGAAAUCAACUUGUUACAAAAAAAGUACUAAACAGCAGGAUUCAAAUAAAAAAAUUGUUCAAAUUUGGUCUAGGAGUUUCUUAACUAAAAUAAUUAGACCCGUAUUUUUUUAAUUGUUUUUUUUUAUUAUGGUGGUCUAAGCCGGGUUAGGGUGGUCCAAAAAAUUACGUUCUUUAAAAAUUUGUGCAAAACCUGCGUUGCAAAAGCAAAAUGAUAAGUUGGAAUUUAUGAAAAAAAAGUUUUCAGAACAUAACUGAGUACAGUCAUGCCUCGGUUUUGCACGCCUCGGUUUUGCACUGCCCCGGUUUUGCACCGUUCAGCUGCCUCGGUUAAGCACGGCCGAGUGCUUAACUGAAGCACAGAGCUUAUGGGAUUUUGGCUAUAUGGGAGACAUUGGCUAUAAUUCUAUGAAUAAUCAUGCAAACAUCAAAAAAUUAUAGUGUUUUGGAAUCGGGAUGAUGUCAGUUAUCCAUUAAAAUUAUUAUUUCAUGAAAUUUUUCACAAAAAUACGUA